UACGAAGGGGGCAAGCGUUGUUCGGAAUUACUGGGCGUAAAGGGCGCGUAGGCGGCUUAUCAAGUCAGGCGUGAAAUUCCCGGGCUCAACCUGGGGGCUGCGCUUGAUACUGAUUGGCUUGAAUGCGGGAGAGGAUAGUGGAAUUCCCAGUGUAGAGGUGAAAUUCGUAGAUAUUGGGAAGAACACCGGUGGCGAAGGCGGCUAUCUGGCCCGUAAUUGACGCUGAGGCGCGAAGGCGUGGGGAGCAAACAGG
rnacentral:rRNA from 1 species